AACCCCCUACGGGGCGCAGCAGUGGGGAAUAUUGCACAAUGGGGGAAACCCUGAUGCAGCAACGCCGCGUGAGGGAAGAAGUCAUUCGUGAUGUAAAGCUCUAUCAGCUGGGAAGAAAAUGACGGUACCUGAGUAAGAAGCCCCGGCUAACUACGUGCCAGCAGCCGCGGUAAUACGUAGGGGGCAAGCGUUAUCCGGAUUUACUGGGUGUAAAGGGAGCGUAGACGGCCAGACAAGUCUGAAGUGAAAAUCCAGCG
rnacentral:rRNA from 1 species